UACGUAGGUGACCAGCGUUGUCCGGAUUUACUGGGCGUAAAGAGCGCGCAGGCGGUCGUUCAAGUCGAGUGUGAAAGCCCCCGGCUCAACUGGGGAGGGUCAUUCGAUACUGAUCGACUUGAAGGCAGGAGAGGGAAGUGGAAUUCCCGGUGUAGUGGUGAAAUUCGUAGAUAUUCGGAAGAACACCAGUGGCGAAGGCGACUCGCUGGACAAGUAUUGACGCUGAGGUGCGAAAGCGUGGGGAGCAAACAGG
rnacentral:rRNA from 1 species